GGCGAGUGAAGAGGGAAAAGCCCAAAUUUGUAAUCUGGCUCUUUUAUGAGGGUCCGAGUUGUAAUUUUGAGAACUGUUWUCUGUGCUGGACCAUUUCUAAGUCUGUUGGAAAAUAGCAUCAUAGAGGGUGAUAAUYCCGUAUGUGAUAUGGACUACCAGGGCUAUAUGAUACAGUUUCUAAGAGUCGAGUUGUUUGGGAAUGCAGCUCAAAGUGGGUGGUAAAUUCCAUCUAAGGCUAAAUAUAGGUGAGAGACCGAUAGCAUACAAGUACCGUGAGGGAAAGAUGAAAAGAACUUUGGAAAGAGAGUNAACAGUACGUGAAAUUGUUGUAAGGGAAACACUUAAACUUAUCGUUGUGCUUGUCAGUUCAGCCCUCUUAUCAGGGUGUAUUCUGACAAAACACGGACCAACAUCAGUNUUUGAGUGCUGGAUAAGGGUCUUGGGAAUGUAGCAGUNUAGGCUGUGUUAUAGCCCAGGAUUUAGAUACAGUGCUUAGGACUGAGAGAUAUUUGCAGCAAGC
rnacentral:rRNA from 1 species